UACGGAGGAUGCGAGCGUUAUCCGGAUUUAUUGGGUUUAAAGGGUGCGUAGGCGGAAUGCCAAGUCAGCGGUAAAAAUUCGGGGCUCAACCCCGUCGUGCCGUUGAAACUGGCGCCCUUGAGUGGGCGAGAAGUAUGCGGAAUGCGUGGUGUAGCAGUGAAAUGCAUAGAUAUCACGCAGAACCCCGAUUGCGAAGGCAGCAUACCGGCGCCCGACUGACGCUGAAGCACGAAAGCGUGGGUAUCGAACAGG
rnacentral:rRNA from 1 species